rnacentral:rRNA from 1 species
AUGCUUUUCCUAAAGAUUAAGCCAUGCAUGCCUUCGAAUAAGAGGAAGCAAUUCUCUCUGAAUCUGCGAACGGCUCCGCAAACCAGUUGUAAACCAAAGCAAGCUUGCUCGGGUUGGGCUUCGGCCUGGCCUGGGUGAUACGGAUAACCCUGGUAAUUCUGAGGCUAAUACGUGUAUUGGAACACCCGGUGGACCGGCCUCACGGCUGGGAUAUCGGGAGACGAGUGAUGGAAUGUUUUGGAGUUACCAGGAACGGGCG